rnacentral:rRNA from 1 species
UGGGGAAUCUUGCGCAAUGGGCGAAAGCCUGACGCAGCAACGCCGCGUGAGCGAAGAAGGCCUUCGGGUUGUAAAGCUCUGUCAGGGGGAAAGAAGGCACCUGGGUUAAUAGCCUAAGGGCUGACGGUACCCCCAAAGGAAGCCACGGCUAACUACGUGCCAGCAGCCGCGGUAAUACGUAGGUGGCAAGCGUUGUCCGGAAUCAUUGGGCGUAAAGAGCGCGUAGGUGGCUUGUCAGGUCUGAUGUGAAAUUUCGGGGCUCAACCCCGGACCUGCAUCAGAAACCGGCUUGCUAGAGUCUGGGAGAGGAGAGUGGAAUUCCUGGUGUAGCGGUGAAAUGCGUAGAUAUCAGGAGGAACACCGGUAGCGAAGGCGGCUCUCUGGAACAGUACUGACGCUGAGGCGCGAAAGCUAGGGGAGCGAACAG